AUUGAACGCUGGCGGCAUGCCUUACACAUGCAAGUCGAACGGCAGCACGGGAGCAAUCCUGGUGGCGAGUGGCGAACGGGUGAGUAAUAUAUCGGAACGUGCCCAGUCGUGGGGAUAACGUAGCGAAAGCUACGCUAAUACCGCAUACGAUCUAUGGAUGAAAGCGGGGGAUCGCAAGACCUCGCGCGAUUGGAGCGGCCGAUAUCAGAUUAGGUAGUUGGUGAGGUAAAGGCUCACCAAGCCGACGAUCUGUAGCUGGUCUGAGAGGACGACCAGCCACACUGGGACUGAGACACGGCCCAGACUCCUACGGGAGGCAGCAGUGGGGAAUUUGGACAAUGGGCGCAAGCCUGAUCCAGCAAUGCCGCGUGCAGGAUGAAGGCCUUCGGGUUG
rnacentral:rRNA from 1 species